ensembl:snoRNA LOC120101262 small nucleolar RNA SNORA48
UCCCCCAGCAAUGGGAAAAGGGACAACUUUUUGGUGGUGUUCUUAUAUCAGUCAAGGGUGGAACAGAUGGCAGACUUUUGUUCGUUCUAACUUGAUUCUUGACUCAUUGGUCAAAGCUGUUUUAUGCCUAGGACAUAUAA